CACUUUCCUCACAACCCCCUCCUGUAAGUUUUAGAGAAUAUAUACCCAUCCUCACAGCAAAUCUUGGGAAUCUCCUGAUGUGAGCUGUGUUGAGAGGUUGUCUCUGUCUCAAUAAAAGUUCACUGAUUCCCCAUCUGCCGCAGGUGUCCGGUUGUCUUCAUUCUCCGCCAGCCUGGAUCCGCUCCAGGUCAACUGGAACGGAUGGGAGGACAUCGGCCGUGGUCUGAGUGAACGGAGUUUGGACAAAAGCUGUGUGCACACAAAAACAAGGUAAGCAGACCUUUUAUUUCUGCUAUAUUGAACAUUAUAAAAAUACUUAGUGUCCAAACUCCUAGUAAUUCAUAACCAAAAUUGUCUGGCUUACUUAAGGCUUGUUGAGAAUCAGACAAGUGAAUAAGAGAUAAGUGAAUAAGAAAUAAGUGAAUAAGUGAAUAAAGAUAAGAGUGAACUGAGGUCUGACCACGGUUGCAGCCGACGGGUUGCUCUCCGGUGUCGGAUACAUACCUCAGUGCAGGUCUGGGACCUUGAAAGGGUUUAUUAGUAACGCCUUUCUAAACAAAUUAAAAGGUUAAAGGCCUUGAGAAUAUUUUUUAGUAAUAUUCUCUAAACUACAGAAGGGUUAGGAAGGCCCAGAGGACUUUAUUAGAAAAGAUCCUCUAAAA